rnacentral:rRNA from 1 species
CAGUAGCCACGGGAAUACAGAGGGUGCGAGCGUUAAUCGGAUUUACUGGGCGUAAAGCGUGCGUAGGCGGCUUCUUAAGUCGGAUGUGAAAUCCCUGAGCUUAACUUAGGAAUUGCAUUCGAUACUGGGAAGCUAGUGUAUGGGAGAGGAUGGUAGAAUUCCAGGUGUAGCGGUGAAAUGCGUAGAGAUCUGGAGGAAUACCGAUGGCGAAGGCAGCCAUCUGGCCUAAUACUGACGCUGAGGUACGAAAGCAUGGGGAGCAAACAGGAUUAGAUACCCCUGUAGUCCCUGUCUCUUAUAC